rnacentral:tRNA from 1 species
CCGCCCGUAGCUCAGCUGGAUAGAGCGCCUGACUUCGGAUCAGGAGGUCCCGGGUUCAAAUCCUGGCGGGCGGGCCA